rnacentral:tRNA from 1 species
CGGGUGGAUGGCGUACUUCACCUCGACGCCCUCCUUCUUGAGGAGGUCGGCCAUCUCGCGCACCGCGUGCUGGGCCUGGGCAACCGCC